GGACUACUGGGGUUUCUAAUCCCGUUCGCUCCCCUAGCUUUCGUGUCUCAGUGUCAGCACACCCCCAGCGAGCUGUUUUCACCAUUGGCGUUCCAAAUGAUAUCUACGCAUUUCACCGCUCCACCAUUUGUUCCGCUCGCCCCUAGGUGGCUCAAGACUGGCAGUAUACCAAGCCGUUCCACGGUUAAGCCGUGGGAUUUCACAAGGUACUUACCUGUCCACCUACACACGCUUUAAGCCCAGUGAUUCCGCCUAACGCUUGGCACCUCUGUCUUACCGCGGCUGCUGGCAC
rnacentral:rRNA from 1 species